rnacentral:rRNA from 1 species
GAGUUUGAUCCUGGCUCAGGAUGAACGCUGGCGGCGUGCUUAACACAUGCAAGUCGAACGAUGAAGUUUCCUUCGGGAAACGGAUUAGCGGCGGACGGGUGAGUAACACGUGGGUAACCUGCCUCAUAGAGUGGAAUAGCCUUCCGAAAGGAAGAUUAAUACCGCAUAACGUUGAAAGAUGGCAUCAUCAUUUAACCAAAGGAGCAAUCCGCUAUGAGAUGGACCCGCGGCGCAUUAGCUAGUUGGUGGGGUAACGGCCUACCAAGGCGACGAUGCGUAGCCGACCUGAGAGGGUGAUCGGCCACAUUGGGACUGAGACACGGCCCAGACUCCUACGGGAGGCAGCAGUGGGGAAUAUUGCACAAUGGGGGAAACCCUGAUGCAGCAACGCCGCGUGAGUGAUGAAGGUUUUCGGAUCGUAAAGCUCUGUCUUUGGGGAAGAUAAUGACGGUACCCAAGGAGGAAGCCACGGCUAACUACGUGCCAGCAGCCGCGGUAAUACGUAGGUAGCGAGCGUUAUCCGGAUUUACUGGGCGUAAAGGGAGCGUAGGCGGAUGAUUAAGUGGGAUGUGAAAUACCCGGGCUCAACUUGGGUGCUGCAUUCCAAACUGGUUAUCUAGAGUGUCGGAGAGGCAAGCGGAAUUCCUAGUGUAGCGGUGAAAUGCGUAGA